UCAAUCAAUCAAUCAAUCAAUCAAUCAAUCAAUCAAUCAAUCAAAUCAUAUUUAGAAAGCACUCUUCAUACUAAAAGCAGCUCAAAAUGCUGUACAGAUCAAUACAAACAAACAAAAACUAGAGGAGGUUCAUAAGAUAUUAUCAGCAAGAUCAGAUGGUGCAAGACCAUUAAGACAUUUAAAAACCAGUAAAAGAAACUUAAAAUCACUCCUCAGACGUACUGGGAGCCAGUGCAAUGAUUUUAAAACAGGUGUGGUGUGAGCCGGCCUUCUGGGCCUGGUUAACACUCGAGCAGCAGAGUUUAGUAACAGCUGGAGGCUGUGCUGACUUUUUUCAGUGAGACCAGAAAGCAGCAUUACAGAAUCUAUAUGGCUGGAAAUAAAAGCAUUAAAGUCUCAGUAUUAGAGAACAGGGAAAACUUUGGCUACAUUUUUUUAGAUGAUAAAAUCCUGUUUCAACUAUUUUAAUAUGUGGAAUAAAAGUGAGCUCAGAGUUGAGAAGACUGACUUCAAAACAAGUCGGAGGCUCAGGCUUCUGACUUGUUUUGAAGGUUUAAAAGACGCAGUUUGUUAUUUUUUUAAUUAUAAUUUCUUUCUGAUUCUCUGGUUCAAUUAUUAAAAUUCUGUUUGGUCCUGGUUGAGCUGGUGAAAGUUCUGUGCCAUCCAGUUUUAAUGCCUGAAAUGCGAUUAAAAAGUGCAGUGAUUGGUUGGGGGUCGUCCCGAGACAACGAGAUGUAUAACUGAGUGUCAUCAGCAUAACUGUGGAAGCUGAUUCCAUGGUUCCUGAUGACUCCACCAAACGGCAACAUGCAUAAAUGACAUGCUGCAAAUGGUUGGUUUGACUCAGUUCAGUGAGAAAAAGAUCCAGAGCAGCUGGAAAUGGAACAAAUUGAUCAGUUUUGGUUCCAAAUUAAAUCGAUUCUACCAGACUAUCAUGUGUGAAUGCAUCCUCAAAAUCAUCUGCCAUCAGUAGUCAUACUCUCUACAGCUGAGACCAGAUACUUACAUACACUGUAAACCUCACUGGCACUAAAUCAGACUAAACUGCUUCCUCAGUGGAGGACCUGACCAUGGGACUGUACACUCAGAUUAAAAGUAAUGUGCAGCUGAGUAAGCUAAUUUAGAGUAAACGGUUGUACAAUCUCUACCUCCUGCUUGCUAUUGAUUCAACCAUCAAACUACAUCAAAAUGAUCUGAAACUGAAAGUAACAGAAGUACAAAUGAAAAGAUUUCAGAGUUCUUACUGCUCUUUAUUCACACCAUUUUGAAGGAUCACAGAAAAGCCUUACUGCUUGGAGGGAAAACAGGCCAUCAUCCAUGAUUUUAAACAGGAAACACUGGACUUAUUGGUUCUGCUGAGAGGGAUGAGGUGAAAGAAAGAUGGAGGCAGUAGGUGGGAAAAAGAUUAUUAUAAAUGAAAGGCUCUGCUUCAGGAAACAAACAGGAAGUGUGUGAGCAGAUUUAAUGCACCAGAUGCAGUUUUGUGUCUGACCUUGAUGAAACGAGAAAGGGCGUCUGUCCAUAUAAAUCUGAAGGAUUUAUGGAGACCUCUGGAAAAUGAAGAGGACGUCCAAGACGGCAACAGGUCCAUGCUGGAACCCGGACAUAAACCGGCUCACUGGAUCAUAAAUCAGGCUGUCUGGUUUCGUUCUGCCUCUCUUCAGAGACCAGAAACUCUCUUCCUUCUUCAGCUGAUCAGAACCGACCCGUUUGCAAUGUUCUCCCGCCGAUACCGCGGGUUAUCUGGUCUGAGCAGCUCAAUCAGAGACCAGAAUUAAGCAGAAGAGGAAGGAGAUGGAUGAAAAAUGAUGAAUUUUUACUAAAAAUCUAAAACUUUAAUCCAGGAAACAGAGACUAGGGGCAACAAUCAGAGGAUCAGAUGAACAUCUAAAGUGGAGAUUUGAUCCCAGGGAGAACAUUGGUUUAAUUUUUAACUCCAAGUUUUGUUAAAAAAAACCAAAAAAGGCAACUCAGAUAGCCAACUUUAACAUCAAACUCAUUAGGCCUCUUAUCUUAGUCUGACCUCAAGUGCAUGAUUUUAUCACACACUGAAUAUUGCUUCACAUCAUGCUCAUUUGCUUGUUCUACUACAUUAAAACUUAUUAAACAGCUUUUUAAAAAAGCAAUUAAAGGAGACCACAGUCAUAUAAUAUUUGCCUAGUUUUAGACAAAUAUAACUUUUUAAGUUUUGAGAAUUUUCAGUUAUUUAAAAUUGACUGUCUUAUUGGGUAAAGCCAUUAAAAACGUAUCCUUAGAGAAUUUUCUAAAAAGGCAAAAAGCAUUAGGUCGACCUUCAGACGGGACUGAGAAAUUCAAUUUAGAAAGUCUUCAUUCUCAAAAAAUGUUUUAUCAAUUAAAAAAUGUUAGUGCUGGAACAAACUGCCUGUUAUUAGACAGAGCGCCACCUAUCUGUUCUGCAAAGCAUGGUUGGCCAAAACUCAGCACUGUGAUCAAUGAACCUCAGCAACCUUUGAGGAAUUUCAUGUUUUAGUUAUUAUUUUUGUGACAUAAUGUUGUAAAUAUAAAUUUUUAAAUGAGCAUUUCGAUAUGAACCUUCUUGAAAUCGGGUUUUCCAACUUUCUAUACAGUUUUUAUUGUAUUUCUUAUUUUUAUACAUGAAACAGUGUGAAUGUUUGCAUCUUCUGUUUGUUUUUAUGGGACUAAGAAUGGAAAUGAACAUUUUGCUAUAUCUGGUAUAUAUGCACUGUCCCAUUUAAAUAAAAUCAGUCAGAUGGUAACUGAGACACUAAAUAGUGAAACUGAAGGAUGAGAAAUCUUAAGGAAUGUAUAUUAAAAGCAAAAUGGGAUAAAUCCCAAACAAAGUGGAACCAAAGGACAGCAGAGGAUUUGCCAGUUCAGGUGAAAGGUCAUCAGAUCCAUAGCGGGCGGCGCCGUUCCUCAGCUAGCAUCGACCCGUGCAGCUGCUCAGGGAGUCCCCCGCCGUCAGCCUCAGCACCGAGGCGGCCGCAGCCAGCUGGCGGCUGAUGGAUCCGGGUUAGCGGGUCGGGAUUCCCUCCAGGCCCAGAGCGUUGCUGGAGGUCUCCAUCAUGAAACGCCUGCUGGCUGAGAGAGCCAUUAAACUUUCAUCACCUUCAGGUUUCCAUCAGCUGCUGCUCCUGGAAUAAAACAACUGACUGACUAAAAGCGUCUUUAACUGAGAUCAUCUGCAUGUAGGAGCUGAUUGUUCCUUCUGGAUGCUGAACAUUUUUAAUACGACUGACUCCGGUUUCAAGAGGCGAGGAUGAGUUUACAUGCUGCUUACAGCAGAAACACAAUCGCCCUCACAGCUGCAGCUGAAGACCAGACACAUCCCUCCAUCUUCUUCUCCAAAUUACACACUAACGGUGUUUUCCGGUAGACUCGGUUUGACUGGGGACCAAAACUGUUGCAUUUUCAGCUGCUGCAGUUCUCUUCUACUGCUGUUCCUCUCCUGGCCUGUGGGGCCGCUGCACCAAGAACCACUGCAGCAAACGACACAAAACCUCUGAUGAAGACACUUAGUGCAACUUCCUGCUCCACCACAUGGAAACAAAAAUGGAACGCAGCCAGCAGAGACCUGUAACCCUCUUCUCCACGGGCAUGGCUUCGUCUACAUUUGCAAAAAAACUAAGAUCCUGGUUUUUUUCAACGGGGAUGGUAGAAGCUGAGCCAAGCCUGGUAUUGCGCACAAGCCAUUUGAUUGGCGGUAGACUGCUUUCAUUGAUUCCUCCUCGUAUAACAUCUCAGCCAAUCCGCAACGAGACCGUAGUAGUUGGGAAGCUGCAGAUUGCUGAAUCUUUGGUCAAACCUUGAGGUUCAAACCUUUUCAUCAACUGUGGCGGUAGAGCGCAUACCAUGCCAACUGGACGGGGCAACAAACAAAUACACUAAGAGAAACUGACCGCGCAGAGGAAAACGCGCCAAAAUGAGAUGAUCGGAGUGUCAACCUCUGCACAGUGAGGAACACCCAACCUGGCUGGAACCGGACAGAGUAAGACUCUAUGGAGAAGAGGCUUUAGCAACCCUGAGGAUGAAUACUUGAAUGUUUAAUUAUUUAAACAUUGCGAAGAUGAAUUUUCUGCUUCUCCUGUCUGGAUCAUCUCUGGGUCUCCAAGUUGUAGCUUCAUGGUGAAUGUGGAGGCCAACAUUCAUCUGAGACCUUUUCUUUUUCUCAUCCACAUCAGUUCAUCUCGGUCUGCAUGCUGGUAGCACAGCAAGAAGAUCCUGGCUUCAAAUCCCAGCUGGGCUCUUCCUACAUGGAGUCUGCAUGACUCAUAAGACCAAUAAAAUUAUGGACAACUCUGACCUCAAGCAGCAGCACAACCUCAGCUCCCACACACUAACACACUAUCAUCUUCAGUCAGAGGCUUCUUCAAAUUUGCUGUAACACACACCGCUACAGAGAACUUUAAUGCCAUCACUGUCUACAAUAAGAAUUUGAAUUAAUGUGAGUUACAACAUUUAAUGAAGUAAUUAUGAAUUUGCAUGUCCUCCCUGUGCAUGCAUGAGUUCUCUCUGGGUACUCCGGCUUCCUCUGACAGCGAGAACCAAGACUUGGGUUAACUGGUCCUGUGAUGGAUGGAGACCUGAAGCCCCCAGUGACCUGAUCAGGCUGGCUGGACUCCAGGUUUUAAAGCAGCUCCCUGCAGCCCCAGAGCCAGAUCCUCUGAUGUGACUGAAUCAUGUAGGCGCUGCAGCGCCUGCUAGACAUCGACACCAUGGCAACAACACAAAGCUGCGUGCUUACAUAAAGGCGACCAGAGAUCCAGGAGAACAAGGCAAACCGAUCAGAAACGGGGGAGCUGGUGCUCGUUUCAUCUGAUCCCGGAUCAACUCCGUUCACGCCUCAAAGCGGCAAGAACAGGACGAGUCAGACGCACUCAGAGCUGUAGGUGGAUGACCGGCCGGCGGACACGGUGGAGUCACAAAGGUCACCGCAGGAGGAACCUCUGCAGGACUUCACAUCCUGAUGCUUCUCUGCUAACUGAUAUUUCACAAUAAAAGCGCUGCUGAGAAACUUAA